GAUGAAGAACGUAGCGAAAUGCGAUAAGUAAUGUGGAUUGCAGAAUUCCGUGAAUCAUCGAAUCUUUGAACGCACAUUGCGCCCCCUGGUAUUCCGGGGGGCAUGCCUGUCCGAGCGUCAUUGCAACCUUCAAGCGCGGCUUGUGUGUUGGGUCUCGUCCCCCGUGGACGGGCCCGAAAGGCAGUGGCGGCGUCCCGACAUGGUGCCCGAGCGUAUGGGAAUCCUCUUCCGCUCGAAUCGGCCCAUGCGGCGCUGGUCGUAACCAAAUUUUUUACCGGUUGACCUCGGAUCAGGUAGGGAUACCCGCUGAACUUAAGCAUAUCAAUAAGCGGAGGA
rnacentral:misc_RNA from 1 species